rnacentral:rRNA from 1 species
GACGGGGGGGGCAAGUGUUCUUCGGAAUGACUGGGCGUAAAGGGCACGUAGGCGGUGAAUCGGGUUGAAAGUGAAAGUCGCCAAAAAGUGGCGGAAUGCUCUCGAAACCAAUUCACUUGAGUGAGACAGAGGAGAGUGGAAUUUCGUGUGUAGGGGUGAAAUGCGUAGAUAUCGUAAGGAAGACCAGUGGCGAAGGCGGGUCUCUGGACAGUUCCUGACGCUGAGGCACGAAGGUCAGGGGAGCAAACGGG